rnacentral:sRNA from 1 species
UAGGACUCACUCUGUAUUUCGUUGAUGC